UGCUGAAGCGACAAAUGCCCUGCUUCCAGGAAAAGCCUCUAAGCAUCAGGUAACAUCAAAUCGUACCCCAAACCGACACAGGUGGUCAGGUAGAGAAUACCAAGGCGCUUGAGAGAACUCGGGUGAAGGAACUAGGCAAAAUGGUGCCGUAACUUCGGGAGAAGGCACGCUGAUAUGUAGGUGAAGCGACUUGCUCGUGGAGCUGAAAUCAGUCGAAGAUACCAGCUGGCUGCAACUGUUUAUUAAAAACACAGCACUGUGCAAACACGAAAGUGGACGUAUACGGUGUGACGCCUGCCCGGUGCCGGAAG
rnacentral:rRNA from 1 species